rnacentral:lncRNA from 1 species
CUCUUCCCGGCAUGGGUUUCUGCCCAGCUCACCCGCUGUCAGCUGGGGUCCUGCUCUGGUGGGAGGAAGAGGCUCAGACGCUUCCCUGCCCUCUCGCCUCAACCACCUCGAGGCAGCGGCUCCCAGGAUGUGCACUUUGACGACUAAAGCUGAGCCGGCGCCGCCACGACCUUGGGCGGGUGGUCGGCCUCUGCCCUGAGCAGGAAGUAGAAAGUCUCAGCAGACCCUUCCUGAGGGCCGAGCAACAGUGUAGUGGCGUAUUCCACAUAGCAAACAGGUCCCCAGACAGUCCCGGUGUGCACACUUCCCUGCUUCUGUUCAUGAUGUUCUCUGAACCUGGGAUCACCUUUCCCCUUCCUCUUACCUGCCCGAUCCUACUUGUCCUCCCAGAUUCAGUUUUCUGAAGCUCAGAGGGACACCUUGUAUUGCUGGAUGAUAAAAACAGGAGCAAAGUGAUGAAGUGCUGACAAGGCAACAAUAGAACAUGAGAGAUUCACUGCUGUGUAGGAAGAGAUCUUCGGUGACCAUGUAGCCUGAAGCUCUCAUUUUGUCAUCGAGGGACACCAAAACUCAGAACAGUGCUAAGCUCCUACAUCCUGUUCUGGAAGGACAAUCCUGAGCACACGAUGAGCCAUAUAAACUUCAGACUGACGCUGAGUGAAAGAAUGCUGGAAAAGCAUCACAGGCCAGGGCAGCAAAGUCUUCAAGGUCAUCCGUGCUCUGAUGAUGUCACGCUUCUUCCCUGUCUGGAAGACAUUUCCCCAAGAGCAUACCACCAACAUCAGGGAAAUGGAAUCCAACUGGUCGCUGCAAAGUUUGCUGAGCACACAGUGAUAAAGAUGGCAAGAAGGUCCUGAGAGAAACGCAAUAUUUUUGUGCAGAAUGGGAUGUUCUGCCUUUGUCCCAUGCUUUGAAAUUUACCACAUGAAAAAUAAAAUUAAAUACUGAUCAUCA